rnacentral:tRNA from 1 species
GCCGAUGUGGUGAAAUUGGUAGACACGCCAUCUUGAGGGGGUGGUGACGAAAGUCGUGUCGGUUCAAAUCCGACCAUCGGCACCA